rnacentral:rRNA from 1 species
UACAGAGGUCUCAAGCGUUGUUCGGAUUCAUUGGGCGUAAAGGGUGCGUAGGCGGCGCGGUAAGUCGGGUGUGAAAUCGUCGGGGCUUAACUCCGAAACUGCAUUCGAUACUGCCGGUGCUUGAGGGACUGGAGAGGAGACUGGAAUUUACGGUGUAGCGGUGAAAUGCGUAGAUAUCAGGAGGAACACCAAUGGCGGAAGGCAGCUCGCUGGAACGGAACUGACGCUGGAGGCGCGAAAGCGUGGGGAGCGAACAGG